UACUGUGAAGUAAAACACGAUAAGUACUAAAUGCUAAAGUACAGCAACUGCAAAUUUCAUUGCAAUAAUUCAAAAUUUCACUCAGUAGUUUGUAUGGCCCCUACAUUCUUGUAUGCAUGCCUGACUACGUUGGGGCAUGCUCCUACUCAGAUGACAGAUGGUGUCAUGGGGCCUCUACUCCCAGUGAGGCCAGCGCUUCACUGAGCACAAAGUUGUAUCCAAGUUUCAACCUGUGCUGUGCAGGCAUCACUGAGAUGCAGCACUGUCACUGGAGUUUGAAUCAGGCAGCAGGAGCAUGGCAGCAAUAUAUGUUUGUAUAACUGAUCCCAGCACAUUAAUGACAGCACACCAUGAGAUCUGCAGUAAAUCUUUUAAAUCCAGAAUAAUUCACAGCUGAAAGAGAAAAGUCCAAAAUAAAGAGAAAUUUCACAAACUACAUGUUGAAUCAAUACAAUGUCAUAUUUAUAAUUACAGAAAUUAAAUUCUUUAUUUAUACACCCAUGUCUGUACACUCUUUGUAUAGCCCCUGCUGCAGUCCACAUUCUCCUGUCAGUCUGAUCGGCUCUUAAGAGGGGAAUUCAUAGAAAAGUGAGUGUUGAUCUCUCCUGAUACAAACACAAUGGCUUUCAACAACAGCAGACAACUUGUUUUCUUCAAAAUGAUUUUUUUUUCUGUUUUUGACAAUGAAAAACUGACAACUGGAGAGACAACUGCUGAAUAUAACAUUUUCAAUAUCCUUCAUUAGUGAAUCUUGCUUUUACAUUUAUUUAAUUGUCUGAUAAAUAUUGACCACAUAAAAUAUUUAGUUACAAACUGGUGUUAGUGACAAUUGAUGUAGAAAGAAUACUUUGUUUUUAACUGCAAAACAACUGUGCUGUACGUGUGCUGAUAAAUAAAAAAAAUCUCAUUAUCACAAAAAAUGGUGUAACUUAAUGUUCAUUUCAAUAAUUCAGAUUACCAUGAACAAUCUGGGUUACUAAAAUGUCUAUAAAGCUCCUCCGAAUAAUUGGUGUAACAGCUCAAAAAUCAUUAUUGCUUAUUAACCAUUAUGGCACAUUUUACAACAUCAAGUCUCAGUGAUUAUCCACUGUAUGCGUUUUCACUGGUUUCACAUGUUCACAAACAGGACAUUAAUAGACUUCCAUAACAGUUGGGUCAAGUUUUUGUUUCUUUUCAUUGUGACUAAGUUCUCAAUCAAGCCCAACUUGUGAAAUCUCAGGCAUGAGCUAAUUAAACACAGCUCCUUCUCUAAUAAUAAAAUUCAUAAUUUCCCAAGUAUUAUGUACACUCCUGGGGAUACCAGAGACAUAAUGAGAAGGUGUAUUUGACAUCUUUUGGGUAAAAUAUUCACUCUGUAUGAUCUGAAAGGAAUUUUGAAACAGAAACUACAAACACUGUUGCUGUGACCAGUGAGCUGAGUGUCACAAAAUUGUUAACCUACAGUUCAAUCCAUGUUUCUACAAUCAUCUAUGGCAAUGAGCAGAAAGAAGAUGAUCACUGAUAUGGGUGUUAGCAGUGUGUUUACACUAAAGGCCAUCCUGGCUCUGCCAGGCACAGAGUUAGGAGCCCAGUUAUUUGUCUCACACCUCAAUCUUCACCGGGACAGUGGCGCAAAGGAUAGAGCUGCAACUUUGCACUGAAAGGAGCUGUUUUGAGUUUGCUGUUUGAGGAUGGCCUGCAGAAAUGAAGGUUUGCAGAAAGUGUAACCCUAGAGGAGCUGGAGGAGCUUCUCUACUGGUCUCUCUGAUGGCAACAAAUGGUAGAACGAGGAUGUAUAGAGGAAAAACUGAAUAUUACCAGCACAUGUACAGCAAAUAAUGUGUAGUGCAGUGGAAUGAAGAGCAAAUCACAGCAAAACAACUCAAUUUGCAUUCAUCACCUUAAAGUCAACACACACUCAAUGGAAAACCCUUAAAAGAUUUUAAUAAUGUUGACUCAAAAAAGUAACAAUGAUCUCAUGAAAAAGAGGCACUACUAGUGAAGAUCUGAAGACACCAGUUUUGUUUUUGCUCCCUCGUUAGCACCUGUACCUACUGCACCAAGCAUCAUUUUCUUGUCUCUACAAGUCUGAGAAUGUGUCAUAUUCUAGUUGCAGAAAAAUGUCGUAUGAAGGAGUAAACAGCCGAACUCAGAUGGGGUUUUUUCUCUGUUAAACAUCUUUAUCACUAAUUUCACACCUAAUUAGAGCACACAGUAAAGAAGCAUUGCAUGUCUGACAUUAGACAAGGAAUUACUAAGGCUUUACUGAACAUAUGGACAGAGCUGUGCACGAUAGCACCAAUAUAUGUUUGCUUAAAGUACACACUUGUGUACCUCUAAACAUUCUCUGCAUGGACAAUGCUCAGUACAUUUAAGGAGUUCUUUAUUCUGCCUUUGUCACAAAGAACUAUUCAAUGUAGCAUCAACACUUUGCUGUUUUUCAACUAUGAAAAAAAGUACAAAAGGGGCUGGGGCCAUUAGUAAAAAAAUACAACUAGUACAUCAUCUAGAAGAAAAACCCAAGUGUCAGUAUGGAUGAUAAUUUAAGCAGACUGGCAAUAUUAAAUUAAAAAAAUCAAGCAGCAGCAGUUAUACAAAUACACCUCUGUAGUUUUCCAGCAGUAGUUAGUGAGAGAGACAAAUUGUCUCUUUUCACUUCAUUUCUCAACAGAACUUCAGCAAAAAGCUGAGACCUGUAAUGCUUUCUCCCCUAGAGAUGACAUUUGUCAAUGUCCCCUGUAAACUUAACGAUGGUUAAGUUUACAGGGGACAAAGAGAAAGAGACUUAGGUUAAAGCCUC
ensembl:lncRNA